UACGUAGGAGGCAAGCGUUGUCCGGAAUUACUGGGCGUAAAGCGCGUGUAGGUGGUGGGACAAGUCUGCUGUGAAAGCGCCUGGCUUAACCGGGCGAGGUCGGCGGAAACUGUCCGACUCGAGGACGGUAGAGGGGGGUGGAAUUCCCGGUGUAGUGGUGAAAUGCGUAGAGAUCGGGAGGAACACCUGUGGCGAAGGCGGCCCCCUGGGCCGGCCCUGACACUGAGACGCGAAGGCGUGGGGGAGCGAACGGGG
rnacentral:rRNA from 1 species